GAUGUACUCCCUCCGUUCCAUAAUACAUGCCUUCGAUUUGUCAAAAUAUAGAUGUAUCUAGACAUGUUUUAGUAUAUUGGUACAUCCAUUUUUAAACAUAUGGAAAUCAAAUAUUUUGAAACGGAAGGAAGUACAAU
rfam:Triticum aestivum genome assembly, contig: Triticum_aestivum_CS42_TGACv1_scaffold_473376_6AL